GAACCUUUAAUGAAUUUUUUUGAAUUUCCAAAAUACCAUCAUUCAUUUUAAAAAAUGACACCACCUCUACUUCCACAUCCAACUCCACCACUUGCAUCACAUGAGAAUAUAUUGGGAGACGCACAAAAAUGAGAUGCCUUUCUAGAUUCUGACCUUAUGAACUACACAAGUAGCUAGCUCAACUAAGAAAUGGUUUUGGUCAAAUAAAAAAUUUCUUAGUCAACACCUUUUCUUUGAUCACCCCCAC
rnacentral:lncRNA from 1 species